CGUCAAUGUUCAGCCUUAUUAAGACUAAAACCCUUCUUCACAAUUGAAAGUGCUUUACAACCCUCAGGCCUUCUUCACACACGCGGCAUUGCUGGAUCAGGCUUGCGCCCAUUGUCCAAUAUUCCCC
rnacentral:rRNA from 1 species